CUACGGGGGGCUGCAGUGGGGAAUAUUGCGCAAUGGGCGAAAGCCUGACGCAGCAACGCCGCGUGAGUGAUGAAGGCCUUCGGGUCGUAAAGCUCUGUCGGGAGGGAAGAACACCUUCGGGUCUGACGGUACCUCCCGAGGAAGCACAGGCUAACUCCGUGCCAGCAGCGGCGGUAAUACGGAGUGUGCAAGCGUUGUUCGGAAUUACUGGGCGUAAAGCGCGCGUAGGCGGCUUGAUAAGUCAGAUGUGAAAUCCCUCGGCUUAACCGAGGAACUGCAUUUGAAACUGUCAGGCUUGAGUACGGGAGGGGGAAGCGGAAUUCCCAGUGUAGAGGUGAAAUUCGUAGAUAUUGGGAGGAACACCAGCGGCGAAGGCGGCUUCCUGGACCGAUACUGACGCUGAGGCGCGAAAGCGUGGGGAGCAAACAGGAUUAGAUACCCCUGUAGUC
rnacentral:rRNA from 1 species